GACGAACGCUGGCGGCGUGCCUAACACAUGCAAGUCAACUUGACUGAAGGAGCAAUCUGACAGUAGAGUGGCGCAAGGGUGCGUAACGCGUAAGUAACUUGCCCCAAGGUAAGGAAUAACGUCGAGAAAUCGGCGCUAAUACCUCAUAAUGCAGCGGAUCCGCAUGGAUAUGUUGUUAAAGGUUUACCGCCUUGGGAUAGGCUUGCGUCUGAUUAGCUAGUUGGUGUGGUAACGGCACACCAAGGCUACGAUCAGUAACUGGUCUGAGAGGAUGAUCAGUCACACUGGAACUGAGACACGGUCCAGACUCCUACGGGAGGCAGCAGUGAGGAAUAUUGGGCAAUGCUCGAAAGAG
rnacentral:rRNA from 1 species